CGUGCGCAGGGCUCCCGGCGGAGGGUGGUGUCUGCGGCUCGCGGGCUGCGAGGCGGGGGACUCCCUGGCUUCCUACUGCUCAGAAGAGCCAGCCCCGGAGCUCCGAAGGCCGCCGGAGGGCCGUGGGGACACCGCCACAGACACUUGUUUGCAAGGCUCAGCCCCGGCGCGCGCGCGGCGCUCGGAACGGGUCCGCCUCCUCGCGGCCGGCUGGGCGGCGGCGCCCGCGCCUUGCCAGCCGUGCUCCUCCUCCAACUCCUCCUCCUGGCGGGCGAAGCCCCGGCACCGGCACGGCGGGGUCGCCGCCCCAGUCCCCUCCAGGCGGACGCCCUGGGCUCGGGGACCCGGCAGGCCCGGCGCAGCAGGCCUCCUUCCCUACGGCUUCGCCGAGGAGUGAUCGGGCGCAGCGCCCGCGGCGCCGCCACGCCGUGCGCUCUCGGUGUCCGCCUGCAGGCUUCUCUCCCGGGUUAUUGCCGGCAGCAACUGCUGCCUCGGGACACGCACGAUUACACCGUCACUCGCAAACCCAUUCUUGCAACUGCCAAGACCUGACGAGCCACGGCGCGGAGAGGUGACCCUCCCCGGCCUGUACCCCAACCCCGCGCGCUUCCUCUUCCUCCCCAUCGGGGCGCUGGGUCGAGUCGCCGGGGGACUCUACUGAUGACCCGGGAACGGGGUGGGGCGCCCGAUGACAGGUCAGGGAGCGGCCGUCCGAGACAGGCCUGACUCUGGGAAGGACUGCGGGCGGGGGUCUCGAGGCCGAGCUUCCAAGGAAGGAGGAAAGAGAAGAGCCGAGGAAUCUGGGUCCCCUUGCCCCGGCUAGGGCUUCCCUCCCAUAGUAAAAGCCCCUUGGUAGCCAGGCUUUUUGAGUCGCUGCCUUCCGGCCCUUUCGCUCUCCACUUCUCCCCCACGGGCGCUCACAAUUGGCUUGUUUUAUUUCUCCCUCCUUUUCCCGGCGUACCCCCCUCACAAGCACUGGGACCGGGCGCCUGUCCGCUCCGCCCGCGCCUCCCUCCCCCAGGGGCCUGACAGCCGGGUGGGCCGGCGGGCGCAGCCACCUGGCCGCACCAGUCCCAGGCGCCUGCGCGCUCACGCCCUCUAGGCUUUGCAGCGGGGUCCAAGCCCUGGCUGCAGAGGGAGCCCAAGCUGGGGUGAGCACGGUCAAGGGGCCACUAUGGAGAGCGAAAGCAGCAGGCGGGAACGCUCGAUUUUCCGAGCCCCACUUUCCUUUCACAGCCCACUGGGAUGUGUAGUUCCUCCUGUCGCUGUCCGGCUCCGAGAGGAAACAAUGACUUUGGGACCAAAAAACUACAAGUCCCUGCAUCCCCCGCGAGGAGGGCGGGAGAGGCGCGGUGCUGGGCGUUCUGGCGCUCGGUGGUUGGAGAUGGGAACCAACAAAGGGGAGGGUGGGGUCGGUGCCUUCUCUGUGCUGACCACCUUGUGCUUUACACGUGUUCUUUGUCUGAUCUUCACCACAGCCCUGCUAGACACUAUUGAACUUGCCCAACAUCACAAAGCUCCCCGGUGGUAGAGAUGGCAUUGAACCCAGAGCUCUAUUUUCCUUACAAAGCAAGCCUUUCGGAGCAGUGUCACAAGGAGAAGAGGUUAACUGUCCAAAAGAGAAAAAGAAAUAUAGCCAGUUUCGAAAAGCUUCCUGUGGUCUGGAAAAAGUGGUGGGAAUGGCAAUUAGAAUAUGACGCGAAAUAACAGAGAGUUACCAAUUAAAAUGGAAUUUACAGGGGUCCAUUCCAAAGCAGAUUAGAGUCCUGGGGGAAUGGAUAGGCCCUUAAACACACUAUCAGAAUUAGUUUUCAAUAUUCUUUGACAGACAAACAUAUUACAGGGACAAUUCUGUGGCUGCAUUGUUCUUGAAAAUUCAACUGGCAAGUCUCUGACAUUUCAAAUGAAAGCUUUCAUGUCCUUUAGCUGUGGGGAUCAAGGAGGUGUCAUUCUAUUUGUUGCAAGCAUGUUUUCUCUGGGUAUCCAAUUAAUAUGCUAAAUCCAUUGUCUCCAUGACUUUUAAAAGACUCCCACUCUGGGAUUGGGGAUACAACUCAGUGGACUGGGGGCUUGCCAUUCCCAGCAACACCCCCCCCCCCAAGACUCCCACUGUUCUCAAUUAAACCCAGUUUUUCUGGCACCAUGGUUAUGCUCUGUUAGAGAUACCAAAUACUAAAAUAUUUACAAGUGAAAUGAUACAAAGUCUAAGAUGUGCUUUAAAACACUCCACCCAUCCACCUAUGAAAGACAAGGAAGUAUAGAAGAAACAACAUUGGAAACUGUUGAAAAUUGUUGGUGUUAGGUAAUGCACUGAAUUAUGUAUUGCUGAAAAUUACCACAAACUUAGUGGCUUUAAAACAACACAGAUUUACCUCCCAGUUCCUGUGGGUCAGGUGCUCAGCACAUUGAGUCCUCUGAGGAGGGUCUCACACCCGCUGCCAAGGUGUCAGCCAGGGUGUGUUCUCAUUGCCUGGAGAAUUGGCUUCCAUGCUGUUUGGGGGGCACUGGUAGGAGUCAUUGCUUUGCAACUGUAGAACUGAGCACCUGGCUUCUUCUUGGUUGUCCACUAGAGACUGUUCACAGCUCUAAGAGGUCACCUGCAGUUCCUAGUAAAAUACCUGUGGCUCAUUAUCUCCUGGCCUUCCCACCAUGGCCACUGACUUCAUCAUGCCAGCAAGGAAAGUCUGCUAGCAAAACAGACUCUGAUACAUCACAAUCACACAGAGGCCCCAUCUAGUGUGCACUUUUUGUUGGCCAGAAAACAAGUGAUUGGCUUCACAUACAUACACUCAUACAGGAUAACGGACACAGGAUGAGUGUGUCCACCCAGUGCAUAAGAGGGUUCGUUAUGACAUUCUUAUCUGUUAC
rnacentral:lncRNA from 1 species